GACGAACGCUGGCGGCGUGCCUAACACAUGCAAGUCGAGCGCGAAUGGGAGCAAUCCCUAGUAGAGCGGCGCACGGGUGCGUAACACGUGGGUAAUCUGCCUGGAAGAUCGGAAUAACCUGCCGAAAGGCAAGCUAAUACCGGAUAAGCCCACGGGGACUUCGGUUCCUGAGGGAAAAGGUGGCCUCUGUACACAAGCUAUCACUUCCAGAUGAGCCCGCGGCCCAUCAGCUAGUUGGCGGGGUAACGGCCCACCAAGGCAACGACGGGUAGCUGGUCUGAGAGGACGAUCAGCCUCACUGGAACUGAGACACGGUCCAGGCUCCUACGGGAGGCAGCAGUGGGGAAUUUUGCACAAUGGUCGAAAGCCUGAUGCAGCAACGCCGCGUGUGUGAUGAAGGUCUUCGGAUCGUAAAGCACUUUCGACCGGGACGAACACCCCUUGGCUAACAUCCAAGGGUCUGACGGUACCGGGAGAAGAAGCACCGGCUAACUCUGUGCCAGCCGCCGCAGUAACAC
rnacentral:rRNA from 1 species